GUGGCAGCAGCAGUGUGGUAGGGCCAGUAUUCUACAUUGUAAAUACUGUUAUUUGUGUGUACUGUAAAUGAUGAUGUUGGUGGGCACUAACCAAGCCCGGGGAAACUGGGAACAAUCUCAAAACUAAAACCAGACACAGCACGAUCAGUGGCCACAGGCCACUGCAGAACAAAUUCAAUUUGCACAGAAGAUUUUGGACCAUAGUGAUGCUGACUUUGAGGAGAAGGUGAAACGAGUGAUUGAUAGUACAGGCAAGAACCAGGAUGAAUGUGUGAUUGCUUUGCAUGACUGCAAUGGAGAGGCCAACAGAGCCAUCAAUGUUCUUCUGGAAGGAAACACAGACACACAUUCUUGCGAGAUGGUCAGAAAGAAAAAGGGAGUCUCAGGCCAGAAGGAUGGUGGCCAGAUGGCAUCCAAUGAGGAAGGCAAAGAAAACUGAGACUAUAGUCAGCAAUGUGGUGGGCCACCAAGAUAGGGGAGAGGAACCAACCAUGGAUGAGAGUUUUGAGGUCAGGAAAAUAGAUUGGAUGACACCAAGAGUGGAGGGCCUUCUGGAAGAGGAACAGAAAGAAGCAGAAGGGACUGUGGCUCUGGUAUGUGAGGCGGAAGGUUUUCUGCUCAAGGAAUGGGAACCUUUAACCCAGCUGAUUAUGCAGAGCCAGCCAAUACUGGUGAUAACUAUGGCAAUAGUAGUGCCAAUAGGUGGAAGAACACUGGCCACUUUGAAACAGAUAAUGGGACAAGACUUGAUUUCAUUGGGGUUGAGGGGUCAAAUUAUCCCCCAAAAUUUGAGGCUGCUCCUGAUGCAUGGAGGACUGCAACUGAGGAGUGAGGGACUAAAGACUAGAAUGAAGAUCUUUCUGAGACCAAGAUCUUCACUGCCUCUAAUGUAUCUUCAGUGCCUCUGCCUGCAGAGAAUCUGACAAUCACUGCUGGUCAGAGAAUUGACCUUGCUAUUCUGCUGGCAAAGACACCAACUACAAUGGAGAAUGAAUCAUCUAAUUCAGAUCCAUCUCAAGCACCUUCUGUGGCCCCACCUCUGGUGUUCAGUAAUUAAAAGCAGACUGCCAUAUCACAGCCUGCUUCAGGGAACACAUUUUCUCAUCACAGUAUUGUGAGCAUGUUUGGGAAAGGAUUUGGUGAUGUCAGUGAAGCUAAAGUCUGCAGCACUACAGGCUCUCGGUUCUUGGAGCAAUUCAAAGCUGCUCAAGCUCUGGCUCAGUUGACUCCUCAGCAUUCUCAGUCUCUAAGCACCAUCACCUCCUCUUGGGACAUGGGCUCGAUGACACAAUCCCCAUCACUGGUGCAGUAUGAUUUGAAGAACCCAACAAUGCACAGCCCCUUGACAAAGCACCAGCCUUUUACCCCAUCUUCAACCACGAUGGAGGUGUUCCUUCAGGAGAAGUCACCUGUAGUGGCCACCUCCACAGCUGCACCUCCACCUCCACAGCUGCACCUCCAUCUCCGUCUUCUCUUCUACCAAGCAAAUCCACGUCGGCUCCACAGAUGUCACGUGGAUCUUCAGGUAACCAGUCCUAUAGCCCUCACCUGGCUCAACAGAAACUGAAACAGUAGAAGAAAAAGGGCUCUUUGACUUCUAAGAUUCCUGCUCUGGCUGUGGAGAUGCCUGCCUCAGCAGAUAUCUCAGGGCUAAACCUGCAGUUUGGGACAUUGCAGUUUGGGUCAGACUCUGUCCUUUCUGAUUAUGAGUCCACCCUCACCACGAGCACCUCUUCAAGCCAGGCUCUAAGUAGCCUGUAUACCAGCACAACCAGUGGAUCUUCAUCUACAGUUUCAUCUAGCCAGAGUCAGGAGUCUGGUUAUCAGGGCAUCCCAAUUCAGUCGACAACCUAUACUUCCCAAAAUAAUGCUCAGGGUUCUCUUUAUGAACAGAGAUCCACACAGACUUGGUGGUGCCCCAGCUCCACCUAUUCAUCACCCCAAAAGGACCUGACUCAAGCAAAGAAUGGCUUCAGUUCUGUGCAGUCCACGCAGUUAUAGACCACAGGUUGAAGGUGCUACAGGCUCUGCAGUGAAAUCUGAUUCACUUUCCACUUCCAGCAUCCCCCAUCUCAAACAGUAUCUGCAGUUUCGUUACUGAUGACAGUCAAUCAGCACUCAUCCUCCUUGGGUGGCCUGAGCCACAGUGAGGAGAUUCCAAAUGCUAACACCGCACAACACAGCAGCACAUUGCCUACGCAGCAGAAUACCCUUUCAUCAUCAACAUCUUCUGGGCACACUUCAACAUCCACUCUUUUGCACACAAAUAUAGAGGGUGAAGCGAAUCUCCAUUCUUCCUCCAGCACUUUUUUACCACAUGUGCACCUCCCCUAGUGGUCAGUGUCUCCUCCAGUCUCAAUAGUGGCAGCAGCCUGGGCCUCAGCCUAGGCAGCAACUCCACUGUCACAGCCUCAACUCGAAGCUCAGUUGCUACGACUUCAGGAAAAGCUCCUCCCAGCCUCAUUCCUGGUGUUCCACUGUUGUUGUCUAAUCUGUAUAUUAUGGCUCCAGGGCUGUUCCAUGCCUCCCCACAACAAGUAUAUGGUUAUGAUGACUUUCAGAUGCUUCAGAAAAGAUUUCCAUUGGAUUACUACAGCAUCCCAUUUCCCACACCCACUACUCUACUGACUGGGAGGGAUGGCAGCCUGGCCAGGAACCCUUAUUCUGGUGACUUCACGAAGUUCAGUCAUGGGGAUGCCUCUUCCCCAGACCCGGGCAGAACCUUGGCCCAACCUCAGCAGGACCAAAUGCAGACUCACAACACCUUGCAGCAGACGUUCCUGAACCCAGCGCUGCCUCCUGGCUGCAGUUAGACCAGCCUGCCAUACUAUACAGGAGUCCCAGGUCUCCCUAGCACCUUCCAGUUUGGGCCUACUGUGUUCCCUGUGGCUCCUACCUCUUCCAAGCAGCAUGGUGUGAAUGUCAGUGUGAACGCAUUGUCUCCCUGCUUUCCAACAGCCAAGUGGAUAUGGGUCUCAUAGAUACAACAUUGGUGUUUCGUUACCUCCAGUACAUGGACAUGCCAGAUAUCUCAGGUUCUGUGUGCUCCAAAACCCAGCAGUCCUUUGAAAAACAAGAUUUUCAUUCCAAUACUUCUGCUGCUUCCUACAACAUUUCUUCAGCCCUAGGAAGUGGGGAUACCAUCAAUCCAGCUACAGCUGCUGCCUACCCACCUGACCCCUUUAUGCACAUUCUGACCCCACAUCAGCAGCUGUACUCUCAGAUCCUUCACCAUCACCUGCAGCAGGUUGGCCAGAUGGGCAGUGAGCAAUGUAGCCAGACCAGCUCCAUCCCACAGAAGCCCCAGACCAAUAAGUCUGCCUGCAACAGCUACAGCUGGGGGCCAACUGAGGCCCUGACCCUCUUCUCCCUGUCCCACCUUCUGAGAGGCUUCUCAGCCUGGAAGCUAUGGAAACAGCACCAAGGAAAAAAGAAUGUGGGGUGUUUCUGUGCUCCCCACCCCCUGCAGCCCACCCUAUGCCUCAGCUUCAUGUUUGACCCAUUCCUAUACCGUCCCCACGAUGUUGUGUGUGUUAUAGGAUUUGUAUUUUCUCCUUUCUCCCUCCCUUCCCUUCCUUCUCCCCUCUUGCAUUCAAGAUUAUGA